rnacentral:tRNA from 1 species
ACUUAAAUAGUUUAUUUAAAACAUUGAUUUGUGGUGUCAGAAAUAUAAAUAUUUAAAAUUUAUUUUAAGUU